AUUUAAUUAUGUUAUUUCCAGACUGUGAAUAAACCUUGUUUGUGUUUCAUCUGUAAUAUGGCAUUUUUUUCCUAUAGUUAUUUCCAUGUCUCUUUAACCAUUGCUGUUUAUCAGUUUAUUUUAUUAUAUUUGUUUUCAAUAACAUUCAUUAUUGUAUAUUGAUCAUUUUAUGUAUAAUAAUUUCACAAUAGUUAAUGUUUAGUAAAUGUUGCAGGUUUAAAACAUAAGAUAUAUUGGAAAACUAAAGUAUUAUAAUUAAAGUUGUUUUAUUUAUUUAGUCAAGACAUACAAAAGAAAAUAUAUAGCAUACUCAAUGUAUAAGUAUCAGGG
rnacentral:lncRNA from 1 species